rnacentral:rRNA from 1 species
AACGAACGCUGGCGGCGCGCCUAAUACAUGCAAGUCGAGCGAGAAGGUGUAGCAAUACACUUGUAAAGCGGCGAACGGGUGAGGAAUACAUGGGUAAUCUACCAUCGAGUGGGGAAUAACCAACCGAAAGGUUGGCUAAUACCGCGUACGCCUCCGAGUCUUCGGGUUCGGAGGGAAAGCUGCACUGUGAGUGUAGCGCUCUUUGAUGAGCUCAUGUCCUAUCAGCUUGUUGGUAGGGUAACGGCCUACCAAGGCUUUGACGGGUAGCUGGUCUGAGAGGACGAUCAGCCACACUGGCACUGCGACACGGGCCAGACUCCUACGGGAGGCAGCAGUAAGGAAUAUUGCGCAAUGGCGAAAGCCUGACGCAGCGACGCCGCGUGGGGGAUGAAGGUCUUCGGAUUGUAAACCCCUUUCGGGAGGGAAGAUGGAACGAGCAAUCGUUCGGACGGUACCUCCAGAAGCAGCCACGGCCAACUUCGUGCCAGCACCG